GACGAACGCUGGCGGUGUGCCUAACACAUGCAAGUCGAACGGUAAGGCCCUUUCGGGGGUCCACGAGUGGCGAACGGGUGAGUAACACGUGAGUAACCUGCCCUCAUCUCUGGGAUAACAGUCGGAAACGGUUGCUAAUACUGGAUAUGAGCUUGCAAGGCAUCUUGUGGGUUGGAAAGAUUUUUUUGGUUGGGGAUGGACUCGCGGCCUAUCAGCUUGUUGGUGAGGUAGUGGCUCACCAAGGCUUCGACGGGUAGCCGGCCUGAGAGGGCGACCGGCCACAUUGGGACUGAGAUACGGCCCAAACUCCUACGGGAGGCAGCAGUGGGGAAUAUUGCACAAUGGACGGAAGUCUGAUGCAGCAACGCCGCGUGCGGGAUGACGGCCUUCGGGUUGUAAACCGCUUUCAAUUGUGACGAAGCUUUUUGUGACGGUAGCAGUAGAAGAAGCACCGGCUAACUACGUG
rnacentral:rRNA from 1 species